GACAGAGGGUGCAAACGUUGUUCGGAAUUACUGGGCGUAAAGCGCGUGUAGGCUGCUCUGUGUGUCGGAUGUGAAAGCCCCGGGCUCAACCUAGGAAGUGCAUUCGAAACUGCGGGGCUGGAGUCCUGGAGAGGAAGGCGGAAUUCUCGGUGUAGAGGUGAAAUUCGUAGAUAUCGAGAGGAACACCGGUGGCGAAGGCGGCCUUCUGGACAGUGACUGACGCUGAGACGCGAAAGCGUGGGGAGCGAACAGG
rnacentral:rRNA from 1 species